rnacentral:lncRNA from 1 species
CAACAGGCCUGGAAGAGAAGGGAAACCUGGGGCUCUGGUGCUGAGGACUGAACCCAGGGUUCUGUAAAGAAGUGCUCCAUCACUGAACUAACUGUAUCCUCAUUUUCAAGAGUUUUACUUUGAUUCAUGGUUCCAGACCAACUGGCCCAAUCUGGGGUCCUUUUCUGAGAAAGGUCACCCGUUAAGAUGGUACAGAGCAAACAGUACAGGGGUAUUUGCUCUACUCAUUUCAUGGAUGUAGGGAAUGCAAGCCAAAGAUGAAAUCAAAAGCUGAAGUGACAUCAAGAUUUCAUUUCUG